CGGCCGCGGGGGCGGGGCCUUUCGGGCGCGGUGCGUCGAGUCCCACCCGCCCGAGCGGGGCGCCUGCCCUCCGGGCCGCGGGGGGCGGAGGUGGGGCUCGGCGCCCGGCGUCUGCGGCCCGCGCCGGCCUCAGGUAACCGCACCUCCCGCCCCCUCGCCGCCGCCCUAUAAGUUGCCCGGCGCGGACGCCGGGCCAUGGGGCGCGCCCGCUGUCCCCCGCGAUGGAGCCGGCCGAGGGCUCCCACCUGGACGCGCUCGCCUACCUGGAGUGCGCGCUGGGCUUGCUGGGCGCCGUGCUGCUGAAGCUGGUGCGCUCGGCCUACGGGCGCUACGCGUCUCCGCGCCCCGCCUGCCGCGUGCCGGCGCGGGCCGCCUGGGCGCUGCAGGAGCUGCCCUCGCUGGCCGUGCCGCUCUGGGUGUGCGCCCGCACGGCUGCCGAGCGCCUCCGCCACGCGCCCAACCGCGUCCUCCUGGCCAUGUUCCUCGUCCACUACGCGCAACGUUCUCGGUUUUUUUCCAACCGUCGCUUUCCCGUGUGUCGGGGACAACACGGCGGUGGCCUCUUAGUCCCGUCGUGCCAACCUCUGGCGUGGUCUCCCGGGGGAGCCCAGGUGUCAUCGCGAACCACACACCACUUUGCUGUCCGGAGCAGGAAUAAACUUAGCCACCCUCCACCGUGCGUCCCGAGCACGAAGGGCCCGCUUCCCUGUCUGCGCGGGACACGUGCGCGCUGGUCCUUGAUUUUCCCGCUUCUGAUCCGAGGAGGAAAGCCGAUGCCCCUGUACACGUGUACGUUGGCGUUCAUGUUCUGUGUCUAUAACGGCUACUUGCAGAGCAGAUACUUGAGUCAGUAUGCGGUGUAUGCAGAUGACUGGGUCACUGAUCCCCGAUUUCUACUAGGUUUCUGCUUAUGGUUAAUAGGCAUGCUGAUAAACAUCCAUUCCGACCAUAUCCUGAGGAAUCUCCGGAAACCAGGGGAGACUGGAUAUAAAAUACCAAGGGGAGGCUUAUUUGAAUACGUAACAGCAGCCAACUACUUUGGGGAGGUGGUCGAGUGGUGUGGCUACGCCCUGGCCAGCUGGUCCGUUCAAGGCGGGGCCUUCGCGGCCUUUACCUUCUGUAUUUUAGUCUCCCGAGCACAGCAGCAUCACCACCCCUAGCAGCCGUGCUCAUUAGUGGAGCGACGUUCUUGGUGCCCAAGCUUCUGCCGCGUCCCGCCAAGUGUGAUAGCCUGUGUGCAGAUGUUUGCUUGUUCACACCAAAGUCCUGCAAGUUGGAGGCCAGCCGUCGAGGGCAGCCUUGGAGAAGGGACUCUGUUGAAAUAAAAUAAAGAAAUAUGCAGUGUUUCCCCAGUGGUACCUUGAGAAAUUUGAAGAUUAUCCAAAGUCCAGGAAAAUUAUAAUCCCGUUUUUGUUGUAAAUUUGUUGUCAGUGGAUGGUCUCCGACUUGCCGCGUUUCAGUGAUGUUUCUCUAGGGAUCGUGUAAAUGAAUUGCUUUCUGUCAUUUUCCUGUUCCUUCAUCUGUUUCAAGAUUUGCUCUAGGAAUGUGUUCCUGGUAAGUGCGUAAGCUGCCUAACACCAAGCUAAUGAGACCGAAAUGCAGGCUGGAGUAGUGGGCUGCAUGCCGGCUCGAGAAUCUGCAGCUCUGGGUCAUUCCAGCUGACCACUUCUCUGAUUUUGGAGUCUCCUCUUUUGGCUGCAUACAGCUAAGUGGGCACAAGACCAGGAUUACGAGCCAUUUCUGAUGGCCUCCAUGGACUGAAACAUGUCACUGCCCCUGUACUACCCAUUCCAACCAUCAGUUCAAGGCCGGAGGUGAUGUUGCCCCCUCCCCUGAUAAAGGCAGAACUGUCUCCAUGGUCCUGCUCACCCCACUGGGGCAGCGAGGCCACGGGGCACCCAGAGUGGUCCCAGCCCCAGGGAAACGUCCAGGCUCUCGCUGGGGUGCUGUGCAGCAGAGAACUCGGGGGCAGAGAGAGGAGACACGGGGCCAGCUGAGGCCCGGACAAGAGGCCUCUGGCACCUGCAGCAUCCUGGCUCCCCGGGCGACUAGACUACAGGGCAGGGGACUGUGUGCACUCAUGUAAGGGGUAAGGCGCUCUGUCCCCCACCGAGAGGACUUUUGGAGGCCCUGGUGGGAGCAGGGAGCCCCUUGUGCUGAUCACCACAGGCACCAGCAGUCUCUGGUUUAAGAUGAUUUUUCUUCCUUCCAGGUAGAACUAGCAAGUUUUAAAGCACUUUUUUCUCAGUACCCUCAGUAUCCCAAAACAGUAUCUUGAAACAGAAUGUCUUACUCUAGAUGCCCUUGAGAGGUCCACGGAGGUAAAUCAUAGGAAUAAAAUGGACCACAUACUGCCUGAUAUGUAAAAGAUAUCUCGGGAGGCUGAGAAUCUGAAAAAGAAAUCUAACAGAAGGCUACUAAAUCUCUGGGCCACUCUGUGAAGCUCUGGUGGGACACGUGGCGGAGGUCCCCUCCUGGCUGUGACAGCAGUGCCUCAGUGGCCACCGCGUCUGUGGAGCCAGAAUCUGCAGGAGCAGGGGAGGAAAGGAGGAGACUGUUCGCUCCGAUCCGCUGACCUGCUAGGUGGGUGGCUGGGGGCGUCCAGAGCAUGCGCGGCCCCAGAGCCCCCCAUGGGCUCCCCGACCCCUCUCCUGGCUGACCUUCCCAGCCACGGUCUCACCCCUCUCGAGGUUUUAUGUAGAAGCCAUGUUCUCGGUGUUAGUGAUUUGCGGAGUCUUCGUUUGAUUUCAGAAUUACGCAGCCAACGUCUCCGAUGGAACUAUGCUUCAUUGUAACUGGCGACAGAACGUUUUUGAAGAGAAAUUUUGGUAUUCAAUGCACUUCGUUCCUUUUUCUGAGCCUUUUCCAAUUACUUGAGAACACGAAGCAAUAAAUAUUUUGGAUCGCCUCGGGAAAACUCAAAAGUCCAAGCAAGUCACGGUGGAUUUGGGCCGCUGUGCUCUGGAAGGCGCACGUGGCCGGGAGAAGGAUGCUAGUCUGAGAGCCGGAGAAGCUCGCUGCGAUGUUUUUCUCCUUUUGUGAGCGGCCCGAGCGAAGGAAUGCUUGGGCUGACUCAGGCUUUGGUGUGUGGUUCAUGCUUUCACCUGCCCGCACUGGGUGGACGGUUGAUAGGAACAAACCUUCCAUCUUGUCUCUCCGCCCUCCCUCCAUUUCCUGAAAACUGCCACUUAGCAAAUUGUCAUCAACUUCUGUGUUAAUCAUAACAAGGAGAUUAAUAAAAUUACUUCAAGCCCA